UCCUGAUCACCAGGUGUGCUCUCCUCACUGUGCACAGGUUGGGGCUGGACAUAGCAGGGACCCAGGUGUGUGCAAGGUGCAGCGUUUGUCCCAUGGGGAGGACCUGCAGGUCCGUCCAGCUCCCCAUUCCUGUCCUCAGAAACUCACUGGGGCGCAAUUCCUGUAGGGCAAAAAGCUGCUUGUGUGCUGUGAUGUGAACCUCAGGGUGACUCCAAACCUGAUCGUGCUCCAUGUUCUGUUAGGCUGCUGUCAAUAAAU
rnacentral:lncRNA from 1 species